rnacentral:rRNA from 45 species
AAAUUGAAGAGUUUGAUCAUGGCUCAGAUUGAACGCUGGCGGCAGGCCUAACACAUGCAAGUCGAACGGUAACAGGAAGCAGCUUGCUGCUUUGCUGACGAGUGGCGGACGGGUGAGUAAUGUCUGGGAAACUGCCUGAUGGAGGGGGAUAACUACUGGAAACGGUGGCUAAUACCGCAUAACGUCGCAAGACCAAAGAGGGGGACCUUCGGGCCUCUUGCCAUCAGAUGUGCCCAGAUGGGAUUAGCUUGUUGGUGAGGUAACGGCUCACCAAGGCGACGAUCCCUAGCUGGUCUGAGAGGAUGACCAGCCACACUGGAACUGAGACACGGUCCAGACUCCUACGGGAGGCAGCAGUGGGGAAUAUUGCACAAUGGGCGCAAGCCUGAUGCAGCCAUGCCGCGUGUAUGAAGAAGGCCUUCGGGUUGUAAAGUACUUUCAGCGGGGAGGAAGGUGUUGUGGUUAAUAACCGCAGCAAUUGACGUUACCCGCAGAAGAAGCACCGGCUAACUCCGUGCCAGCAGCCGCGGUAAUACGGAGGGUGCAAGCGUUAAUCGGAAUUACUGGGCGUAAAGCGCACGCAGGCGGUCUGUCAAGUCGGAUGUGAAAUCCCCGGGCUCAACCUGGGAACUGCAUUCGAAACUGGCAGGCUUGAGUCUUGUAGAGGGGGGUAGAAUUCCAGGUGUAGCGGUGAAAUGCGUAGAGAUCUGGAGGAAUACCGGUGGCGAAGGCGGCCCCCUGGACAAAGACUGACGCUCAGGUGCGAAAGCGUGGGGAGCAAACAGGAUUAGAUACCCUGGUAGUCCACGCCGUAAACGAUGUCUACUUGGAGGUUGUGCCCUUGAGGCGUGGCUUCCGGAGCUAACGCGUUAAGUAGACCGCCUGGGGAGUACGGCCGCAAGGUUAAAACUCAAAUGAAUUGACGGGGGCCCGCACAAGCGGUGGAGCAUGUGGUUUAAUUCGAUGCAACGCGAAGAACCUUACCUGGUCUUGACAUCCACAGAAGAAUCCAGAGAUGGAUUUGUGCCUUCGGGAACUGUGAGACAGGUGCUGCAUGGCUGUCGUCAGCUCGUGUUGUGAAAUGUUGGGUUAAGUCCCGCAACGAGCGCAACCCUUAUCCUUUGUUGCCAGCGGUUAGGCCGGGAACUCAAAGGAGACUGCCAGUGAUAAACUGGAGGAAGGUGGGGAUGACGUCAAGUCAUCAUGGCCCUUACGACCAGGGCUACACACGUGCUACAAUGGCGCAUACAAAGAGAAGCGACCUCGCGAGAGCAAGCGGACCUCAUAAAGUGCGUCGUAGUCCGGAUUGGAGUCUGCAACUCGACUCCAUGAAGUCGGAAUCGCUAGUAAUCGUGGAUCAGAAUGCCACGGUGAAUACGUUCCCGGGCCUUGUACACACCGCCCGUCACACCAUGGGAGUGGGUUGCAAAAGAAGUAGGUAGCUUAACCUUCGGGAGGGCGCUUACCACUUUGUGAUUCAUGACUGGGGUGAAGUCGUAACAAGGUAACCGUAGGGGAACCUGCGGUUGGAUCACCUCCUUA